UACGAGGGGGGCGAGCGUUGUUCGGAAUUAUUGGGCGUAAAGGGCGCGUAGGCGGUGCGGUAAGUCACCUGUGAAAUCUCCGGGCUCAACUCGGAGCCUGCAGGCGAAACUGCCGUGCUAGAGGGUGGGAGAGGUGCGUGGAAUUCCCGGUGUAGCGGUGAAAUGCGUAGAUAUCGGGAAGAACACCUAUGGCGAAGGCAGCUCUCUGGGACGGUACUGACGCUGAGACGCGAAAGCGUGGGGAGCACAGG
rnacentral:rRNA from 1 species